rnacentral:misc_RNA from 1 species
GAUGAAGAACGCAGCGAAAUGCGAUACGUAAUGUGAAUUGCAGAAUUCAGUGAAUCAUCGAGUCUUUGAACGCACAUUGCGCCCCCUGGUAUUCCGGGGGGCAUGCCUGUCCGAGCGUCAUUGCUGCCCUCAAGCACGGCUUGUGUGUUGGGCCUCCGUCCUCCUCCCGGGGGACGGGCCCGAAAGGCAGCGGCGGCACCGCGUCCGGUCCUCGAGCGUAUGGGGCUUCGUCACCCGCUCUUGUAGGCCCGGCCGGCGCUUGCCGACACAUCAAUCUUUUUUCCAGGUUGACCUCGGAUCAGGUAGGGAUACCCGCUGAACUUAAGCAUAUCAAUAAGCGGGGA